rnacentral:rRNA from 1 species
UACGUAGGGUGCUAACGUUGUUCGGAAUCACUGGGCAUAAAGAGCGCGUAGGCGGUCUGAUAAGUCAGGUGUGAAAUCCCCCGGCUCAACCGGGGAACUGCACCUGAUACUGUUGGGCUAGAGUGCGGAAGAGGCGAGUGGAAUUCCUGGUGUAGCGGUGAAAUGCGCAGAUAUCAGGAGGAACACCAAUUGCGAAGGCAGCUCGCUGGGACGUAACUGACGCUGAGACGCGAAAGCGUGGGGAGCAAACAGG